UUGGGGAGGGUGGAGUGGCGUCCCGAGGUGGAUCGCGGGCGUUGUCCUGCUAAGGAUGUGUUGGUGAUAGGUUUAUUAAAUGCAUACGUGUGGACUAUCGUGACAAGUUAUGACUGAACUAGACAGGAGUGAAUGUACACAGAGAUCCCAGACUUGGAGCUGGAUGCAGGAACCGGUGAGACGUUGGGUCUUCCCUUUGGGGAGAUGCCAGCACCAGGGCCUUCGAGGUGCCGACACGAAAGGGAGACAGAGAUUAUUCCUCCAUGUCCUAAAUGCGGUUGAAAUUCAAUUCUAGUUGAAGUACC